GGUUGCUGAAGGACCUAGGUGUGUAAUCCAAAGGACGCAACUGGGAUCCCUGUGCUCCAAGUGCCUGGGCACUCCAGCUUGGCAAACUUCAUGAGCUGGGGCCUCUGCCUGCUCAGCCCCUCUCCUCCGCUCCUCAUCAUCUCACGAGUAGGAGCAUCACCAGGACCCCCUCUCCGCUCUAGCCACACCUGCACUCAGAUAAAGGAGCUUGCCACCAAACCAGACAACCUGAGUUCAGUCCCAAGAGGACCCACAUGAUGGGAAGAGAGAAGCGAUUCCAUUAGUCCUCCAACCUCUAUGUGCACACCAUGGCCUGCACGUGUCCACACACAUGCACACGCUAAAUAAACAGAUGUAAUUUUAAAAAUUUAGAAAUGUCUCCAAACGUUGCCAAA